UAUCCUAUCUUAUUUUCACAUCCCUGCUCUCUGAGAGCUUUUAGUUCAGAGAUAAAGUUAAUCAACAAUGUGAACAAAGCAUUUAAUUCAGAAGACAUUCUUUGAAAGCCUAACAUUCUCAGAGUAUGCUUGUCUAAGCAUAGGGAUAUAGAGGUGAAUAAUAUGUGGCCAUGACCUCAAGGACUGCAGAAUGUAGUGACUUUUCUGAAGACGACUGCAAAGAAGAUGGUGUUUGGGGCAUGAACCUCCUGAGUCACUGUUUUCCAAUGAGAUUGGAACACAUUGGUUCAUCCAACUAUCUUCAUGGUGAUAUCAUCCUCCGCUUCCUCAUUCACUUUGACCAUGGGGGACAACCACAAGCUCAUCCUCAGAGGUAAACUGAAGUCAAUAAUUCACACUUGGCUGAUGAAUCUUCAAGGUAUUAAUCUUCUCCUGGUAUUUUCGGUAUUUCUUCUCCAUCCACUUGGCAAUUCAAUCCGCUCCCUGGGGAGCCGUAUCAUCCAGCACCUUGGUGACCUCACAGCGCCCCUCCCAGGCAUCCAUGAAAGUGUCUGUGAAAGGUAAAUGGCUUCGGAUAUGUCCUCCCCAGAUGGCUGUCUCAGUUGCCAGAGGCCAGACAUUGGCAAGAAUCAAGGCUGGCUAAUCACUCACUGUCCAGGUUAAGGAUUACUAUUCCCAAGUGGAUCCUCCCAGACCCAAGACAAGGAAACUAAGACUCAGGAGCAAGACUCUCAAAUCCAAGGCCAGAACCCAAGCAUCCUGACCCCUAAUUAUCACAAGCACCGACUGGGCCAAGUUCCGAGGUAUCUCGAUCCCAAAGAAACAGGAGCUUGUGUUAAUAGAGAUACUCAGAGUUCCUCUUCAGAUUCCAC
rnacentral:lncRNA from 1 species